rnacentral:misc_RNA from 1 species
UUGUUUUCAUGGAAAGGGAAAGGAGUUGCAUGAAACAGCAGCCACUUCUUGACCUAUUUCAGCCCCUUUUAUGCCUGCAAUGGACAUCCCAGUGACACAGCUUCCUCCGGGAGAUCCUCGUCUUGUGGAAGCCAUCGUUGGACAGUUAAAAUCGAAAGGAAUAUUCGAUCAGUUCCGAAAAGAAUGCCUAGCUGAUGUUGACACGAAGCCUGCCUUCCAAAACCUACGGCAACGUGUUGAAGGCCAUGUCAACAAGUUCUUGGAAAAGAACACAUGGAAGAAUGACCUGAACAAAAACCAACUACGUGAUGGAGUGCGCAAGCAUGUACAAAACUUGGGCAUCCUUGAGUCGGGCAUUGAUGCCAUCAUCACACAGGUGUUGAACCCGAAGAUUAAGCCACUAAUCCUUCCUUAUGUGGAGGAUACUGUUUAUACCUUCCUGCAGAUUGACAAGCCCAAGAGAGAGAGGCAAGCAGGCACAAACAAGGAACCACAAGACACUGGGCAGCCCCAUCUAGGCAUGAAUAUCAUGGACACUAAGCCAAGCCUGAUCCCCAUGGAGACAGAUGUCAUCUCAUCAGAGGAGGAUGACAUCUUGGCAAGAGAGUCCCCUGAUAGCAUGCACAAAUCACCACCAACACCGCACGAUGCAGUGAUGAAGUCUGUAGAUGAUAAUGCUCAAGAUGGAUUUGGGAGCUACAGCCAAUAUGAAAAAGCAGACGAUCAACCAGAUGCCCUCUUAGGGCAUGUUGAGAGAUUAAAUUUGGAUGAAGAACAGGACAGUAAGCCAAUGCCAGCAACCAAGCCAGCCCCACUACCUCUUUUUGAUGACCAGUCUCUUGACAGCAUAUCAUCCAACUCUUCUGGCCUCACCUUCUCUCCACUCUCAGGUAAAGGAUCACCUAGCAGUAGGAAGUCACAAGAGAAUCUUUCAAAACUGGACGAGAGCCCCAAAGCAACUCAGGAUCUGCGCUCCACCACCUCUACCCCACUUGUUGAUGAGAAGCCAGCCGCUGAAGAUGAAGAGGCAUCCAAAUCUUCCCUUGAAAGUGAACCCAUGAAAGAGGUUGAAGAUGUGGAAUCCAAGCCCCCAGAACCUAACUCUCAAGCAAGUCAGCCAGCUGCAACUCCCUCGGAGACACCCAUGCAGACGCCUUCUCACUCCAGCAUUGGAGCUGGGAAAGAGGAUGACACAAUGCUCUCUGGUACAAGCCUGGUGAGUUUGGAUGAGGAUUCACAAGAGAGCAAGGCUUCCAUCUCAAAGGUGAGCAUUGCAUCUGAAAAGUCAGAAGCUGAAGAGAAAGCCAAGUCUGAGAAGUCUGAAGGCGAAAUCACCUCCUCAAGCUCAGAGCUUAGUGACAGUGAUAACAAAGGACGCCAUGGGGAUCGCCCUCGCUACCAGGAAAAACACUACUCUGAUUAUGAGUCAUCACACAAGUCUAGCAAGGGAAAGAGUGAAUACAAAAGCAAGCAUGACUCCCACAGCAGAGACAAAGACAGAGAAAAAGACAAGGAUAAGGACAAGGACAAGGAUUCACGCCACAGCAAGGAGAAAGACAGGAAGCACUCUAAGUCCCGUGAUGACCACCACUCCCACAGAGACAGAGACAAGAAGCACCACCGUAGGGACAAGGACCAUGAUGGCGAUAGAGACCGUUCAAGGGGCCAUCACCAUGAGUCUUCAUCCAGCUCCCACAAGGAAGGCUCCAGCUCAGGCUCAGGGAAGAGCUCAGGAGACAAGGACAAAGAACGUUCUAGCCACCAGUCCAGCGACAAGUCCUCAGAAGGCAAAAGCAGGCGUGAUGCCCCAAGUGAAAAGUCGGAAAGCAAGUCCAGCGAUAAGGCCAAUGAAAAGUCAGAAAAGAAGUCUAGUGAGAAGUCUGGAAGCAAGUCAAGUGACAAGCCAGACAGAUCCAAGGAGAAGUUAGACAAAAAGUCUAGCAAAUCAGAGAGUAAGUCAAGUAGUAAGUCAGACAGUAAACAAAAUAGUCAGAAGACAGACAAAAAAGUAGAAGGAAGUGAUAGUAAGUAUUCAUCAAAACACAAGAAGGAUGGAAGACGGGAAGAAGACAAGCAUAAGAGUGAAAAUAAAGAAGAGAAGAAGAAGAGAGAUGAGAGGGAAAGCAAACGAGACAAGGAGGAACGGGAUAGUAGAAAAGAGUUGAAAGACAAAAAAGAUAAAGAUGACAAGGAUAUCAGAAAGAAAGAAGACCGAGAAAGUAAAGACACUAAAAAGGAAAAGGACAACAAAGACAUUAAAAAUGAAAAGGAAGAGAGAGAAAUUAAGAAGGAAAAGGAGAAAAAGAGCAUUAAGAGGGACAAAGUGAAUGCCAAAGAGGAAGACAGACCUAGCACAAUUAACAUUUCAGAGAAGCGCAAGCUGAAAAAAGAGGAAGAUACCCAAGCAGAGAAAAAGACAAGAGUCACAGAGACAAAGCAGGAAGAACAGCCCCCAGAGGGAAGGCCUGCCGUGGACGAGAAGAGUGACAAGCUUCAGGAACUGCAGCUACAAGAGGAAAGUUAUGUGCUGGUAAAUGACGAGGGCAACAUCCUAUUGUGCUAUACUAAAGAGGAUGAGGAGACACCUGACCUGACACCAGUAGUGACACCUAAGGCCCUUUUUGACAGUGAUGAAGAUUCACAGCCUGAAUCCUUUGAAGGUUUUGGGAACAACAACAAUAAUAACAAGAAGGGUGAAGUGAAUGACUUUGAGGGCUUUGAGAGCUGCAAGUCAGACUGCAAACUCUCAGAAUAUUUGAAGAUGGUGACUAGGAUUCCUGAUGAGAUGGACAUGGAGUGCCAUGAGUGGUUUGAGGAAGAGGACCUGCAACUGUCAGUCGAUGCCAGUGACCUGACAGGCAAGGUAUCCCUGGAAGAGUUUCUCCGAUGUAUGCAGAUGCUUGGCGCAAUCAUAAGAGAUGCAAAUGGUGUAAUUCAGGAGUACAAUAAUACUACUGAGGCAAUCCCCUUAAACCAAGCAAGUAAGGAUCAGCCUUGCAGCCUAGAAGUGAAUCCCGGAAAGAGACGGAGAAUGUCAACCUGUAGCUCUGCCUCUUCAAGCAAUAGUUCUUCUGGGUCACCAAAGCACAAGCGGUCAAGAACAGACCUUGCAGCAAGUGAUACAACUCGGCUGGCAGAGCAGGGAUCUGUCAUUGUCAGUGGCUAUGCCCUUUUGACCCCAGAGGAUGAUGGCAACAGGACCUCUUGCAGAGAGUAUGAUAAGCAAAUAAACCUUCCAGAAGUGGACUACAGCCAGAGGAUCAACACUUACAGCCCAUUGUCUCCUGCAAGUGACUCAUCAGCUGAUGAUGGCAAAGUCAAAUCCAUUGGUAUGUUUGCAUGAAGGAGGACUUCAAGAAUCAUGUACCAUCCCUUUCUCCUAUUCUCUCCUGUCCCCUUUCUACAAUCCCCCUAUUUCCUGCUCAAGCCUAUAGGAGGUGUAGUACAUGACAUUAGAGGCUAGCUCAGGCAAUGUAAAGUCUAUUGCUGAGGUUGCAGAAGUGAAAACAACCAGUCCUGCCAAGAUGUACAAAACUGACUCAUCGUGGCCGAGUGAAGACAGCAAUUUAUCAGUGUAGAUUGU